rnacentral:rRNA from 1 species
CCUACGGGAGGCAGCAGUGAGGAAUAUUGGUCAAUGGGCGCGAGCCUGAACCAGCCAAGUCGCGUGAGGGAAGACGGUCCUAUGGAUUGUAAACCUCUUUUGUCGGGGAGCAAAAGACGCCACGUGUGGCGUUUCGAGAGUACCCGAAGAAAAAGCAUCGGCUAACUCCGUGCCAGCAGCCGCGGUAAUACGGAGGAUGCGAGCGUUAUCCGGAUUUAUUGGGUUUAAGGGGGGGCAGGCGGGAGAUAUAGGUAGCGGUAAAAUUGAGGGGGUAAACCUCUUCGAGCCGUUGAGACUGGUUGUCUUGAGUGAGCGAGAGGUAUGCGGAAUGCGUGGUGUAGCGGUGAAAUGCAUAGAUAUCACGCAGAACUCCGAUUGCGAAGGCAGCAUACCGGCGCUCAACUGACGCUCAUGCACGAAAGUGUGGGUAUCGAACAGGAUUAGAUACCCUAGUAGUC